GUCUACGGUCAUGUCACCCUGAACAAGCCCAAUGUCUGAUCUCGGAAGCUAAAGAGGGUUGGGCCUGGUUAGUACUUAGAUGGGAGACCAUCUAAGAAAACCAGGUACUAUAGGCA
rnacentral:rRNA from 1 species